rnacentral:piRNA from 1 species
UACUCUUUAAGAUUAAAUGCAUAUGUGAGU